UGAAAAGAGGCAGACCCAGGCUUCCGGAGCCAGUUUUAGGGCUCGUUAUAAUUUAAUGAUGCUGCACUGGGGAGUCUGGGGAGCAGAUAGACAAGCAUCUCUUUGGAAUAUCUUCAUCCCUGUGGACACAGUUACAUAGCUGAGCUGUCCAAGAUCCUUCUGCCGCUGCUUCUCUGUGCUGAGAUGACAGGCCCUGAGGCUCCCUGCUGACUAGCAGCCCAUCCUGACAGGCAAGAGCACCGGCCUCUCAGAUUCACAGUGUACCACCGGCUCCAGCGCAAUCCAGGUCACCAGGAGACACGAGCAAAACCACUGCCUCCUCACUAACCAUCCCCAGAUCUAUCCAAAUACAACCAUCCUUUCAAAAUUGAUCAUGUCCUCACCGGCUUAGAUGUGUUUGUAGCAGCAGUAACCGGGUGAUGAGUGACGGCCAAAGAUUCUGUUUGA